rnacentral:rRNA from 1 species
AAGGGCACCACAAGAACGCGUGGAGCAUGUGGCUUAAUUUGACUCAACGCGGGAAGUCUUACCGGGUCCGGACACACUGAGGAUUGACAGGUGAUAUUUUGUAUGCCGAAUUUGUGACUUUUCGUGGUUGCAGAUUAUUAAUUAUAAAAUAAACAAAUAUGCUAGUCCUUUCAUGAUUAUGUGAUAGGUGGUGCAUGGCCGUUCUUAGUUCGUGGAGUGAUCUGUCUGCUUAAUUGCGUUUUAUCUGAACCUAAUUUUAGUGUGUACUGAGUACGCCCUUUCUUAUGCUGCAUGCUGUACUCUGUGCAGCUGCGCUGAAAGGGAUUGUUUUCUCGGUAUACCAUCAAUGGUUCGAAUGCAACGAACGUGACCG